UGGGGAAUUUUGCACAAUGGGCGAAAGCCUGAUGCAGCGACGCCGCGUGUGCGAUGAAGGCCUUUGGGUCGUAAAGCACUGUCGAACGGGACGAAAACUGAAGCGCUAACACCGUUUCAGUCUGACGGUACUGUUAAAGGAAGCACCGGCUAACUCUGUGCCAGCAGCCGCGGUAAUACAGAGGGUGCAAACGUUGCUCGGAAUUAUUGGGCGUAAAGCGCGUGUAGGCGGCUUGUUAAGUUGGUCGUGAAAGCCCAUGGCUCAACCAUGGAAGUGCAACCAAAACUGGCAAGCUAGAGUCCCGAAGAGGAUGGCGGAAUUCCCAGUGUAGAGGUGAAAUUCGUAGAUAUUGGGAGGAACAUCGGUGGCGAAGGCGGCCAUCUGGGAGGGUACUGACGCUGAGACGCGAAAGCGUGGGUAGCAAACAGG
rnacentral:rRNA from 1 species